AGCCAUCGCGUGGAGCGGCCCCGGCUGCAGGGCUGUGCCCGGGGAUCUCCCAGCCCCCGCGGCUAGAAGAGAGAGGACACGGAGAUCGUUCUGGGGGGGAACUUCAAAUGGAAGAGCGUCUUAAUGGCAGUGAAAACGCAGAGGGAGGAGGAGAGAAUUCUGUUCAGCAGCAACAGCAGCUGAUGGAGCCUCUUAAUUGUAAUGGACACCUGGACAGAGGAGAUGAAUCAGGUUAUUCAUGUAACUGCAAGUUCAUGAAACGUGCUUUUGUAGCUGGAAUCAUCUUAGUUUUGAUCAUUAUCAUCAUU